UUGUAUUUACUUAACAUGGUUAACUUGAAAAGGGCAAAAUACAGCUGUUACUUUGACAUGUGUCAAACUACCACGUGUUUCUGGAGCGGAGGCGAGCUGGUAGGGGAGCCGUGAAUCAGGAGGAUGACCAUCACUCAACCAACAAGGAUCCUCGUAAGUUUGCAUAAAGUAAAGUGUGGACUUGUUGUAACACAGGAUUAGUUAGUCCAGUAGUUAAGUUAAGGCAUACUACUGUUGUUGGUUACCAGACAAACUACAGCUGCUACUUUGUUACGCGUAAUUAGAGCCCACCUACUCCUGUGUUUGUUACCUUACAUUAGAGCCAAAUUACGUUGUAACCAGACCAGGAAUCUGGAGGACUGACGGAGAAGCCAUACCUCUGGAAGGCAAAUCCUGAGGACGACCAGGACUCUACCAUCAAGGAUUCCUCACACACCUGAGCUGAACCUCACCUGAUCCUGUUUGGUCGGGGUCAGACUCACCUGAGCUGAACCCCACCUGAUCCUGCUGGUCCCGUCUCCUCAGUUCAUCUUAGCCUCAUCUUCCAGAAGACCUGCUGAACUCAGCGGUCGGAUCCUGAUGGAUCAAUGACCUCCAGUGGGAGUGAUCUUCUUGACCCCACAUGUACCUGUGUGCUUCCACACGCCUUUCCCUCACGUCUGUCACUAACCUCACUACUUAACUAAUCUCUAAUCCUUCCCUUCUUCUUCCUUCUCCGUGGUUCGAACCUUUACUCUGAAGGAGUGCCUUCUUGAACCUUUACACUGAAGGACCGUCUUCCUGCCCUCAGAGGGUUCAGCGUUAGGGUUGAGAGUCAGGGUUUAGAGUCAGGGACAGAGCUGGUCAGGGAGGAUGGUUUUACACAAACCCCUUCAUUUGCUUUUGUGAAUGGUGGUGACAUUUUGAAAUUAUUAAUUUGGGAAAAUGUUUUCCUCUGCUUUCCUUUACAAAAGUAUGUAUUCAACUUUGUCAAGUGUUUUUGUUUAUACUGUAUAUUAAAAUCCUACAUUGACUUCUGCAUGUUUGGUGCGUUUCAUUAAUUGUCCUUUGACUUGGUUAAUGUCAAGCUAAAUAUCAAACAUCCAUAUUACUACUAAAUUCAAGCCUAUUCAUGUAUUUAACAAUGUACAUACUGCCCCCGCAGGCCAUUCUCUGCUACUACAACACGUUCCCAUCGAUGUAGAAUAGCUUUGUUGGUUCAAACGGAUAAUGUAGUUUGGUGUGAGACUGUUGUCCAAACUGUCCAGCAGAGGGAGGUGUCAUACACCUCAAUUAAUUGUACAGGAAUGUGUGUGUGUAUUUACCUUUUAAAAAGUUCAUGUGCUGGUCUAUGUCUGCAAAUAACUCUGCCUCAGCAACAGGUUUGGUCGCAGCAUAGGAAGCAGUAGCAUGCGGUGCCCCCUCAUCUCGGUGGGGCAGAAACGACCGGCGUAUGACCACACCCACAAUUUAUAUCUAUUUUUAACAAGUAUAUUUUGAGCUACAUUAAAACAUGUUAACUAAACUAAUUGUGAGUAAGAAUUAAAAAUAAACCAAUAGCCUAAUGUUACUG